UCCCCCUAAACGGAGGCAGUUUCCCAUGACACUUAUAACAUGGGAUGAGGGUUGCGUUCGUUACCUCACUUAAGAGAACAAUUCACACCACGAACUGACGAGGACCGUGCAGCACCUGUGCUGGCAUCCUUGUGGGUACAUCGGGGUUUCCCCCGACUUUGUCCAGCAUUUCAAACCCUGGUGAGGUUCGUCGGUUGUCGUCGAAUUGAACCACAUGCACCACCGCUUGUGCGAACUCCCGUCUAUUCCUUUGAGUUUUAGUCUUGCGACCGUACUUCCCAGGCGGCACACUUAAUGCGUUAGCUUGGCCACUGAAAGGGUCGAUACUUCCAAUGACGAGUGUGCAACGUUUAGGGCGUGGACUA
rnacentral:misc_RNA from 1 species